GUCGGGCACAGAGGCCGAGAGCGCGUCCCCCGUAACGACGAUGUUCGCGGUUCGAUCCCGUGUUCCGGCACCA
rnacentral:tRNA from 1 species